UUGCUUUGGUGGGCCGCGAGCGCUUCAGCGCAAGCACCGGCUUUUGGGCUGGAGAGCGCCCGCCAAAGGACCACAACUCUACAAUUCAUGUCGUCUGAGUACUAUAAAAUAGUUAAAACUUUCAACAAC
rnacentral:rRNA from 1 species